rnacentral:lncRNA from 1 species
ACUGGGGCUCUGCUGCGGGUGCCUCGGGACGGAAGAAUGCCUGGCUCUGGGCUGGAGGGCCAGGGUUCGUCCUUGGACGGUUGCCAGCAAGGGUCCCUCAACCAGCCAGACAAAGGAUCUCUGCAGGAGCCAGGCCACACAGACCCCACCUGCUUAAAAUUAACCUGGAUGAAUGAGAGUCCUAGAAGGAGCAACCUGGCUGCAGCAGCUGGUUUGGCUGUGAAGGAACAGGGCAGGACAUGACGGCUGGUCACCAUGAUACACACGCUCAGCUCACGUUUUACCUGCUCUCACUGGGCUGCCUGCGACUAAGCAGAACCAAGAGAACGCCAGCCUCUUUCCAACAACAAAGCACGGAUGAUAUAAAGAGUCCAUAGGCUUCCCAAAGACAAUUUGCUUAUCUUUUGUCAGAACCACAGGUAAUUCUGUACCUGGGAGGGAUGAAGGCAGGGGGACAAAUACAGGAUGCAGGGGGUGAAGGACAAAAUUCCCCACUAAAAAAACGGGGAAUGAAGCCUACUGAGAAAAAGCCGAGGGACAGUGACAGCUGGGAUGGGGGGAACAUCCUGAACUACAUCAGCAUUGGCACAUUUCUUAAGAAAAAUCCACUUAGAAACAUGCCGUAUCCCUCAAGUCCACACUGACACAGCCGGCGACAGAGCGAAGCUGGCACAUGCAGGGCUGCAGCGGCUCUGAGCCUGCAGCAGCCCCACUGCCCCAGAGCCGCGGUGCCCGGGGUUCAGGGUGCCAGAGAAGGAGGUCUCGGAGUAGCUCCCCCAGCCCCUCAAUUCCCCAGGCAGGUCCCGUUCUGGGGCAGCGAGGUCUCUGGAGGAAAGCAAGGGGACACUGAUUCACAAGAGGAGACGCAGCUUCGGGGACGCGUGCUCCUGCAGUCUCUUCCCCGGCCUGGUCCAGGCUCUGUGGGGUGCAGGCGGAGGUCUCCCCCGGGAUACGCUGGGAAUGGGGCUGCCUCCUUCCCAGGCAUGGCUAUGGACAUCAGCGGGACAGUGUAGCAAGUCUUGGAUUA